AUUGAACGCUGGCGGCAGGCUUAACACAUGCAAGUCGAGCGAUCGGCGGACGGGUGAGUAAUGUCUGGGAAACUGCCUGAUGGUGGGGGAUAACUACUGGAAACGGUAGCUAAUACCGCAUACCAUCAGAUGUGCCCAGAUGGGAUUAGCUAGUAGGUGGGGUAGUGUAUGACCUAGGCGACGAUCGCUAGCUGGUCUGAGAGGAUGACCAGCCACGUAGUGACAGAGGCCCGGUCCAGACCCAUACGGGAGGCAGCAGGAGGGCAUAUUGCACAAUGGGCGCAAGCCUUAUGCAGCCAUGCCGCGUGUAUGAAGGAGGCCUUCGAGUUGUAAAGUACAUUCAGCGGGGAGGCGUUGCCCGCAGAAGAAGCACCGGCUAACUCCGUGCCAGCAGACGCGGUAAUUC
rnacentral:rRNA from 1 species